UGAGGCCCCAGGUCAGGCGGGAUUACCCGCUGAAUU
rnacentral:rRNA from 1 species